UACAUGUGGGGCAAGCGUUGUCCGGAAUUACUGGGCAUAAAGGGUGCGUAGGCGGCUUGUUAAGUCACUGGUGAAAGUUUUCGGCCCAACCGGAAAAUUGCCUGUGAUACUGGCGAACUUGAGUGCGUGAGGGGUGGGGGGAACGAGCAGUGUAGCGGUGAAAUGCGUAGAUAUCGGAAGGAACACCAGUGGCGAAAGCGGCUUCCUGGUCCGACACCGACGUUCAGGCACGAAAGCCAGGGGAGCAAACGGG
rnacentral:rRNA from 1 species